rnacentral:rRNA from 1 species
UUGACAUGCAGAAGAACUUUCCAGAGAGUGGAUUGGUGCCUUCGGGAACUCUGACACAGGUGCUGCAUGGCUGUCGUCAGCUCGUGUCGUGAGAUGGUUGGGUUAACGUCCCGUAACGAGCGCAACCCUUGUCCUUAGUUACCAGCACGUUAUGGUGGGCACUCUAAGGAGACUGCCGGUGACAAACCGGAGGAAGGUGGGGAUGACGUCAAGUCAUCAUGGCCCUUACGGCCUGGGCUACACACGUGCUACAAUGGUCGGUACAAAGGGUUGCCAAGCCGCGAGGUGGAGCUAAUCCCAUAAAACCGAUCGUAGUCCGGAUCGCAGUCUGCAACUCGACUGCGUGAAGUCGGAAUCGCUAGUAAUCGUGAAUCAGAAUGUCACGGUGAAUACGUUCCCGGGCCUU